CUGGGGCUAUAGCUCAGUGGCUGAGCGCUCGCCUCACAUUCGUGAGGCACUGGGUUCAAUCCUCAGCACCAGA
rnacentral:tRNA from 1 species